CUCGUAUCCUGCCCGAGAACUACGAGCACAAACGCUUAAAACUCUAAGGACUUGGCGGUGCCCUAAACCCACCUAGAGGAGCCUGUUCUAUAAUCGAUAAUCCACGAUCCACCCAACCACCCCUUGCUCCAAUCAGCCUACAUACCUGCCGUCUGCCAGCCCACCUAAAAUGAAUGACCUGCAGUGAGCCCAAUAGUCCCCACUNACAAGACAGGUCAAGGUAUAGCCCAUNGGGUGGAAGAAAUGGGCUACAUUUUCUAACAUAGAAUANNCGAAAAGGGACAUGGNACUCGUCCCUAGAAGGAGGAUUUAGCNGUAAAAUAGGACCAUAUUUGCUCUAAGCCUACUUUAAGAGGCUC
rnacentral:rRNA from 1 species